UAUUAAAUAAAAUGAAUAGUGUUCAUGAAUAUGAUACAAAAAUAUCAUCUAAAUACAAGAAAAGAAAUACACUGACCAACAUCUCACAGAGAUUGGCUGAACAUCUAGAAAUAAAUGACGACCAACAAGCAGUUCAAUUUUUGGGUUUGAUAUCUUUAGUCGGUUUCAUACUACUACUAAUCAUAUUCACCGGGCUUUAUUUAUUUCUCUAUAAACGAACAGAUAAUGUUCGAUUUCGAUCCAAAUCCAAUACAAAUGACAAUCAGACUCAAAGAUACUGUUAUAACUCGAACGAUUCAUUAUCGUCUGAAAGAUUUGAUAGCGAAUAUUCGACAUUGCUUUCGGGCAAUUUCAAAGAAAUCGCUGUACCUCCAUACGAUACAGAAAAGAAAAUACUUGUCAAUCAUGUGGUAGGUAAACGAGCAAGUCACACGGAAAAUUAUUGGAAUUCACACUAUACUUUACAACCAUGAUGUUAAAGAAAUAACCUAAUUAAUUAUUCAUCAAUCACCGCGAUUGCCUCAAUUGUGCUAUGAUUCACAGUCUCUCAUGAAACUCUUUUUUUUUUCUGAUUAUUUAAGUUUAAUACCAAUUAUGAUUAUUAUUGUACUGUUGUUGUUUGCUUUUAUUCUUAAAUUUUAUUGAUAUGAGUAUGAUCUCUUGACAUUAUGUUGUUGUACAAAAGGUCAAAUCGAACAAAUAAAAUGUUAAUUGGUUCUGAUAGGACAAAAUAGUUAAAAAUAUUUUUUCUAACUAUGAUUAUUCCAAGUGGCAACCGAUCCAUAUAGUUGCAGACGAACAAGAAACAAACAAUAAUAUAGUGUACAUUGGCAGAGGUUGCCAUACAAAAUGUUGGUGCACUACCAUUCCACUUAUCAGAGCGUGAUUAUCUGACCCGAUUCAAGCCAAUCAAAAGAAAAUUAUAGGGAAGAAAAUAAAGGACGCAUUGAGGAUUGCAAGCAUAUAUGUUAAAGGAGCCUACCAUUCAUUCCUUAAUAAAAUAUUCAAUAUAUAAAUAGAAUCUGAAACUUCAAAUUCUUAGUUGAAAAAUUAGUUUUUGUUCAAAAAGUCAGUAUAUAAAAAGAAAACAUUUUGAUGCUAAUUAAAAGGGAAUUAAAAGUGAUCUCUGAAGUACAAACACAUUAUAUUCUUAUACGUACCUAGUAUAAUAAUCAUUACUAUCUACCUACCUUAAAUAAAUAAUGACAAAUUAAUGAAGGAUGGCAAUUUAUUGAAACAUUUCAUACAAGUAAUUGUUCUUAUUCAUAGGUGUAACUAGAGCUUACAUUUGGGGGGGGGGGUAUAAUAUCCAAUAUCACACUGACCCGCAGCUACCUACAAUCCCACACAUCCAUCUACUAAUUAACAUUCAAGCAACAAUUGUUACUAUUCACUAUUAUAAGUUCAGUUCUCAAUUUGAAACAUAAGAUUCUAAAACUUGUUAUUUUUAAUCUGGAAGAGCUAAUAAAAUAUUUAGAGAGGUUAAGCUCCAAUAAUCACACCUCGUUAGUUGAACCUAUGUUCCAAUCUUUUAUUAUUUUUAAGUUAACGCUAAUCUAUUUAAUUUGAAGAUUUAAAUGUAUUUAA